rnacentral:rRNA from 1 species
ACGGAGGGAGCUAGCGUUGUUCGGAAUUACUGGGCGUAAGCGCACGGAGGCGGCUUUGUAAGUCGGAGGUGAAAGCCUAGAGCUCAACUCCAGAACUGCCUUGGAGACUGCAUCACUUGAAUGCAGGAGAGGAGAGUGGAAUUCCGAGUGUAGAGGUGAAAUGCGUAGAUAUUCGGAAGAACACCAGUGGCGAAGGCGGCUCACUGGACUGGUACUGACGCUGAGGUGCGAAAGCGUGGGGAGCAAACAG